rnacentral:rRNA from 1 species
UACGGGAGGCAGCAGCUAAGAAUCUUCCACAAUGGACGGAAGUCUGAUGGAGCGACGCCGCGUGCGCGAUGAAGGCCGUGAGGUUGUAAAGCGCUUUUCUUGAGGGGGAACAAUACAUUCAGGGAAUGGGAUGUGGAUGACAUGAAUCGAGGAAUAAGCCCCGGCUAACUACGUGCCAGCAGCCGCGGUAAU